rnacentral:rRNA from 1 species
CCUACGGGUGGCAGCAGUGGGGAAUAUUGCACAAUGGGCGAAAGCCUGAUGCAGCAACGCCGCGUGAGCGAUGAAGGCCUUCGGGUCGUAAAGCUCUGUCCUCAAGGAAGAUAAUGACGGUACUUGAGGAGGAAGCCCCGGAUAACUACGUGACAGCAGCCGCGGUACUACGUAGGGGGCUAGCGUUAUACGGAAUUACUGGGCGUAAAGGGGGCGUAGGUGGUAUCUUAAGUCAGAGGAGAAAGGCUACGGCUCAACCGUAGUAAGUCUUUGUAAAUGGGGAACUUGAGUGCAGUAGGGGAGAGUGGAAUUCCUAGUGUAGCGGUGAAAUGCGUAGAUAUUAGGAGGAACCCGAGUUGCGAAGGCGGCUCUCUGGACUGUAACGGACACUGAGGCACGAAAGCGUGGGGAGCAAACAGGAUUAGAUACCCUUUAGUC